AGAUUGAACGCUGGCGGCAGGCCUAACACAUGCAAGUCGAGCGGUAGAGAGGUGCUUGCACCUCUUGAGAGCGGCGGACGGGUGAGUAAAGCCUAGGAAUCUGCCUGGUAGUGGGGGAUAACGCUCGGAAACGGACGCUAAUACCGCAUACGUCCUACGGGAGAAAGCAGGGGACCUUCGGGCCUUGCGCUAUCAGAUGAGCCUAGGUCGGAUUAGCUAGUUGGUGAGGUAAUGGCUCACCAAGGCGACGAUCCGUAACUGGUCUGAGAGGAUGAUCAGUCACACUGGAACUGAGACACGGUCCAGACU
rnacentral:rRNA from 1 species